rnacentral:rRNA from 1 species
AUUGAACGCUGGCGGCAUGCCUUACACAUGCAAGUCGAACGGCAGCGGGGGAGAAGCUUGCUUUUCCUGCCGGCGAGUGGCGAACGGGUGAGUAAUACAUCGGAACGUGCCCUGUAGUGGGGGAUAACUAGUCGAAAGAUUAGCUAAUACCGCAUACGACCUGAGGGUGAAAGUGGGGGACCGCAAGGCCUCAUGCUAUAGGAGCGGCCGAUGUCUGAUUAGCUAGUUGGUGGGGUAAAGGCCUACCAAGGCGACGAUCAGUAGCUGGUCUGAGAGGACGAUCAGCCACACUGGGACUGAGACACGGCCCAGACUCCUACGGGAGGCAGCAGUGGGGAAUUUUGGACAAUGGGCGAAAGACUGGUCCAGCAAUGCCGCGUGUGUGAAGAAGGCCUUCGGGUUGUAAAGCACUUUUGUCCGGAAAGAAAUGGCUCUGGUUAAUACCUGGGGUCGAUGACGGUACCGGAAGAAUAAGGACCGGCUAACUACGUGCCAGCCGCCGCAGUAA